GUGAAUCAUCGAAUUUUUGAACGCAAAUUGCGCUUCCUAGCAUCCCGGGAAGUAUGCCUGUUUGAGGGUCAGUAUUAACAAAAAAAUCGGUUUGGUUGCAAAUUGUGACGUUUCCGGAGUUUGGGCUAUCUUAACUUUUUUGGUUAAGGGGCUUAAAAUUGACCUUUUUUGCGCAUUUUUAGACGUACAUAAAUUUUUUUUUUAUUCGUCUUUUUUUAAUGCCAAAAUCUUUUUUGAUGC
rnacentral:misc_RNA from 1 species